GCUGUUGCUGUUGAGUUGCUGCUGCUGUUGCUCAGUUGCUGUCACUGUUGCUGCUGUAGUAUGGCCUAUGUUGUUGAGGUAUUGGUGCAAGAACUCCAAACUCAGCUGCUGCAAGUCCAACCCAAGGCUCAAAGUAGCAUGAUACCUGAAGUGAAUUGCAAUUGUUGGCUGAUAUGUUUCUGAUUUGCAGGUACAGAUACAGGUUUUAGGAGUCCGUCAGCUUAGGAUUCCAUGCAGCACAGCUGGAAGAGGAUCCAUUGUAUCGGGGCCUAGUUUUUGAUACUGUCCACUGAUGUAUAAAAUUGUUUUGUCCAUUCGGGGGUACGACGGGGGUCCUGUCCCGCCAUAUGUUGUCGUUAAUAUUUUUAGAGGUCUGCAGACAUGUGUGUGUGGGUUGUGUAUAUCAGUUUGAUUCAGCUAGGUCUACGUGAUGUACGGUAUAUGUUAUUAUGUUAUGGUAGCCUUGUCGGAUCGCAUGCCCUUUCAUGUUGUGACACAAACGAAAAGGGCUAUAGGACAAUCCCUCCUUAAUAAAUUGUUAUGUGUACGGUGAUGUUUCUAAAGAGGAGAUUAUUUCUGA